AACCAAAUGCUUCAAAGUUUACUUUAACGGUCAAAGAACUUCUUUACUCUUUGGUUUUGGUCGUUAUAUUUUGAUCGCUCGAAUACUGCAAGCAAAAUGGCAUUUAUGACUGCUUAAAUUUAUUGUUUAACAAAUAAAGCAAAUGAAAUAAUUAAGUUUCAGUUCAUAUUUUGACCCAUAACGAUUAAUUUAAUUGUUUAUUUAGUUGCUUUUGAAACCGCCUAAAAUUUGUUUCCGAUUAAUUACACAAGAUGGCAGGCAGUAACGUGAUAACAAAUUUUUUUUAACAGUUUUUUUUUAAAUUUGAUUAACAAAUUAUAAGUUCAAGCCAAAAUUGCUUAUUUUUGUGAAUUGUUACAUGUGUACCUCGAGUCGCAUUUGAAUGCCAUGUACAUCCAGCGCUUGAAACACAGUAACAGACCCUUCCACCCAUCGGAUUUAUUCAAUGUUUGCAAAGAUAGCGUUCACUCAAACUCUUUACACUUUUACGUAAUUGUAUUUUUUCAAUUGUACAUCUUUAAUACUCUUCACUAACUAAUCAGAUGGAAAUAAUAAGGAUGAUAUCUGGAGCCUCUAGACUGGAGGAAUUGAACAACAGCUUUACCAAAACCAUUGACAACCCAAAAAAUUAGGAAACUUACAAUAUCACAAACUAACCAGGACUUGAAGGAAGAACUAAAAAGAGCUUGUUCAGGUUGAUCAGAAGAAAGACAGCGAGUACAUUCGACUCAAAUUCAAAUCCCUUAAGCCUCUAAUAUUGCAAUUUUUACUUAAUCUUUUCUAUUACCAUGAUUAUGUAACCUGAUUUGCACUGAGUUUGCAUUUACGUCGAGUAUUUUCCGAUUGGACCCUGGAUCCUGUAAUAAGAUGAAAGUGACAUUGACUCCUAAACAAUGUACUUUAAGGGUUUUGACCAGAAAAUUUGUAUUGUCAACGGCUGGAUCAUUGAUUUUUAAGCGACGCAAUCAAUCAGGGUCAGGGUUAUUAACUAAAUAGUUACAAGAGCAACAUUUUUAAACAGCAUGUAAAGUGUACAUUAUCAAAGUGUGUAAAAUGGAAAGUCAGAAAUGGAAUCAAUCAAGAAAAUCAAGGCCUCUUCUUCAUCUUUAUGGUUACCGUCUUCAUCAUUACCGUCAUCUUCAUUAUAAUCUUUCCGAGUCUUCAUUUUGUGUCUUCUCCACUCCUAUUGAUGAGAUAUAUCGUCAAGAAAUUAUUUCCCUGUUUGCUUAUUUUUGUCAACAAGCUUUGCUCUGUUCAACUGUCGUUUUGUGUCUUCUUACUUUGGUUGACAUAAUUGACACGCUAACAUACAAGUUGAUUUCAGUUUCUUUCCUCUCAUUUUGAUUUCUUGCAAAAACACAAAUUAGCAACCAUCGAAGCAAGGUAAACUUGGCUAUCAACAGAAAAUGCUAUCCUGUAAUAUAUUGAAUACAUUAACUUGCAGAACUUUCAGUUUUUGCUUCAAGAUUCAAGAUGAGGAAGAUGAUAAUGAAGAGGAGUGAAUAGAUUGACAAGAGGAGGGUGGUAAAGUGAUAGUAAGAUGAUGGAAAGACUCAAGAAAUAAAAGAAUGAACAGAAAGCUGAUCACCAUCUUUAUUUUUCUUCUCUCUCUUCUUCCAUCAUGACCUUAUUCUUGAGGGUUCAUCAGGUUGUAGCUUCAAAUCACUGAGCGAACAGAAUCAAUCCUCCUUACAAGAUUACUGGGCCUCGAUUGAAGGACAAUGAUAAGUAUGUGCAUGGAUAUGGAUCGAGCCUCAUCAGCGGAUCUGAUAUAAAGAGAUUUCACAGAAUCAAGUAGCAUUUACAUGAUAUAAGCAUUGGACGAGAAGAAAGCUAAACAAGAGACUAAAAUAAAGUAUAAAUCAAGCUUAUAACCAUGAGAAAUGAAGAGAUGAAGAAGAAAAAAAAUUAUGAAGAGAACAAGGAACAAAAUCAAGUAUUGAAGGAAGAUAAACUGAAAAGGGAUAAAAAUUGAGUGAACAAGAGGGAAGAAGAUGAAAUGAUGUAGCAAAAGAGGAGACAACAAUUCAACAUUGGGUAACAAGCGUUGAAAUGAUAAGCAAUGAAGACAAACCAAUGAGCUGAUAUCGAUUAUUUACAAGCUUAAGCUGUUAAGUCUGUUAAGACAGUCUCUCGAUCUUCCUCUGGUCUCUCUCUUAUCCCCUUCUCUUCCCUUUCAUUAUCAUCUUCUUGUUGAGUGAAAUUCCAAUCUGGAAUCGAUUGGGAUAAGAAAUACAAGUUUACAAUGCUGACGGUAUAAUAGAUGAAUAUCGAUGAGCCAACAAUACAAAUGUUCAAGUGUAUCUCAAGUCCGGGUUAGGACCAAGUUAAGGUAAUAAAGAUAGAGUGGAGUAAAGAUGAAAGAUAGAGAAGGAGAAGGAAAAAGAGUGAAAUGAUAAUUCAUGUAUCCUUGGAAAUUAACUCGACAAUCUCUGAUUGACCAUGGAUUCCUAUUGUUAAAAGCUUUGUUAAUGAAAUACUUUCAACACGCAAUUGUCCGAAUCAAAGUGUUUUUCAAGAGAGAGAGAGAGAGAGAGAGUUAAGAUACAUUAAUAUUUGGUACGAAAAAAAUUGAUUGUAAAUUUUUAGUUGCCAUUAAAAAAAAGGAUUACAUUGAAAUAAUGAGAAAAGAGAAAAUUAUUUCUCAGGAACUGAAAAAGAUGACUUGUUGCCUCAUGGGUUUUUUGUGAUCAUGAAAUGAAUAAGAAAUUAAAAAGACAAUAAAUGGUGAUAAUGGAGAAGAG